rnacentral:rRNA from 1 species
AGUGAACGCUGGCGGUAGGCCUAACACAUGCAAGUCGAACGGCAGCACAGUAAGAGCUUGCUCUUACGGGUGGCGAGUGGCGGACGGGUGAGGAAUACAUCGGAAUCUACUUUUUCGUGGGGGAUAACGUAGGGAAACUUACGCUAAUACCGCAUACGACCUACGGGUGAAAGCAGGGGAUCUUCGGACCUUGCGCGAUUGAAUGAGCCGAUGUCGGAUUAGCUAGUUGGCGGGGUAAAGGCCCACCAAGGCGACGAUCCGUAGCUGGUCUGAGAGGAUGAUCAGCCACACUGGAACUGAGACACGGUCCAGACUCCUACGGGAGGCAGCAGUGGGGAAUAUUGGACAAUGGGCGCAAGCAUGAUCCAGCCAUACCGCGUGGGUGAAGAAGGCCUGCGGGUUGUAAAGCCCUUUUGUUGGGAAAGAAAAGCAGCAGGUUAAUACCCCGCUGUUCUGACGGUACCCAAAGAAUAAGCACCGGCUAACUUCGU